rnacentral:sRNA from 1 species
UUUUAAAGACCCAAGUCAGUAGAUCGAUUUUACAAUAGUUUUUUUUUAAUGUCUUUUUGAUUAAUGGAAAACUGGGAAGCAUAGCAUAGAGGUGAUACUACAGUGAUCGGUGGAAGCCUCAACUCCAGAUUUCUGCAGUCAAAUGACUCAUUUAUUCGUAAAAAUGGCAAAGCACGUGGAAAAACUUCUCUUACCCUGCAUUUCUACGAAAAUUUCCUAAACAAAAGGCAGAAAAUUUCCCACUAUUUCGCACAAGAGAGCGUUUUACAUCGCGGAGAGUGAAACUCAGGGAGAGAACCUAUGAUUUGCCGACUGCUGCUUUUCCGAGUCAAUCAGUUUGUUUUGAAAUUUCGCCGCGAUGCGUUCUCUUCACUAGGUCAGAAAUAAAUUAAAAUAUACUGCGGAAAGGACUGGUUUGGUGAUGUUGACUUCGGAACAACAGAUGUCAAGUGCAAUACCGACAUUAAAGCUAAUAAAUAAAAAGGGAAAAGCGUAAAAAAAAAUUUAAAAAAUUAAAAAAUACCUCUGCCUUUUUCAAACGAGUGCAAAGUGUUAAAGGUAUGGCAGCAAUUGAAGUGAAGUUCUAUAUUUAUGCAGUUCCAGCUCAUUGGAAAUUUAAAGUCUGAAAUAUUGAGUCAUCCCAAUAAAAAAAUUUAAAUAUCAGGAAGGAAACUAAUUACGUUUUGUACGGCACCGACUAGAGAAUCAAAAGAGGUUACCGGUGGAAAAGGAGAUUAUUGUAAAUACAAACUGACAAGCAAAUGCUUUGAGCGCAUCUCUACUUGCAAUACAUUGCGGAUACGUAAUAACUGGUGGCCCUGCGGCCACCUCUCCGUAACAGACCUAUUACGAUCCGAUAAUUCGGUUUAUUACGCAUACGCAACGUGAAACGUCUGUCCACCAACGCAAUUAAGUAAAGCCCCGUCACACACAAGACAUUGCAAUUCGGCAAGUAAUUGAAUCGCUUUCAAUGGUAUGGUCCGCAAUUAUGGCGUCUACUUGUUCCCCCGAGGCCCGGAGAUUGGAUCGGAAACCGAAUCCUGUUUAUCAUGCACAGCGAUCUGUAACUUCGGUUGGUUGGUGCCAACCACCGCUGGACUGGCAAGAUUUUUAAUUAUGUUUGUAGGUGCUCUGAAAGCCAGCUAAUUGUCUCUGGCCUAAUUAUGAAGGAAAACUGAGAUUCUUUUGACCUGACUUCCUUUAACUGCUGCGAAAGCGCUUGUUACCUUCAUUUAAUUUAAGGCAUUUAACAUUGAUUUUUAUUUGAAUUGCAUAUUUUCACACUUGGCCAGUCAGAAGGAAGUUGGGAGCGGUCUCCCAGCCUUACAUAAUGUUCCUUAAACACUACAAUUUCAAGUGUUUUCGGUUUGAUAUGACGAACACAUUGACCUCAGUCCAGGAGCAGCAGCUACCUGUGUCCACCCCCGCCACCAGACACCAACGAAACCAGGACGAGCACGAUGACGAAGGCACCGUCAAAAGCAGUCGCUGAACAACGCAUGGCGGCUUAGGAAGAGCCUGCUCCAAUGCCAGAAGUGUGGCCAAGACUGCGGAUCCCAGUUUGGCCAAGAACUCAGUUGGUGGCUGAGGAGGAGGAGGAGGAGAAAUUUUAAUCGCUGGCGGUGACGAAGGCACCCGGUAAUAUUGUGCUCCCAUUCGGGCAUAGUAAGUGGUUCCUAGCUAAUGACGAAUAAAUAUGAUUGUCUAGCCAUUCCGAAUGAGAUGAGCUGUCGAACUCCCAUAUGAUGAGCUGAAGACUCCAUACAUCGCGGUUUAUGAGCUGACAACCUAAGGGUCGACCGCCCAAAGAAAAGGGCGUUAAAUUUUAAUUAUGGUCAUUGAAUUGGACGCAUCUUAAAUGUCUUCUUAUUGCGUGCACAAGUGUAAACUUUUGUUUAUUGAAAAAAAAAAACAAAUUGUUUUUCAGCAGCAUUUGAUGAAAAAAUGGGAAAUUAUUUGUAAACUAAUUUAAUAUGCAAACACUACCACGAACCACGAAAAGCAGACGAAAUUAGAGAAAUCCCUAUACAAAAUUGGUUAAUUAAAUAUAAGGGAAGGUGCCACGACCACAAUUUUUGGUAUCAUAUAAGAAAUACACUAACCCAGGACAAAACACAUAUUCACUCGACUAAAUGAUUGGCGUUCAGUUAUCUUUACUUUAAUUUACGUUUCAAUUUAGAUGGCCCUGAUGGAUUUCAAUAUUAUUAUUACGAUUUGCAGAAUGAUGAGCUACAUAUUUAUAUCGCCACCAUAGCCGAGAAGGGGGAAUAAUGGUGUGAAUGUUUUAACUCUUACUCUUACUCCUAUCCUUAGAUAAGAAAUGUUUUUGCAUAUCAACUUUCUUUCCAUCGCCAUUGUAUAUAAUUGUAUACAAUUGUAUAAUUGAGCCGCUGCUUACAAAGUUGUCUAGAAAAAAAUAAUAUUAGAUGUUUGUCGCGGAACGAAUUAACCCUCCAUCGAUAUUGCCGAUAAUUUGGAUCGAUAUCAUAAGGAAGUCACACUUAGUAUUUAUUGUAUGUAUUCUAAUGUAUGUCGUGUCUGGUCUUACCUUUAGAAAUAUUAAGCUUGGUGGGCAAAGUGAAUAUGACUUGCACUAUCCAAGAGAGAGGGAGAGUAUAUUGCGGUACGUAAAAUAAGAACAUUUAAACGAUUGUAAACCGAUUUACUUAUAGAACAAAACCUAGAUCAGACUACCAAUUCCACGACUGGAGAGGUGGCGACACUAAUGGAAAGGAUCGCAACCUUUGAAAAGGAACUAACCAAGUCAAGGGCAAAUGAAAGGGAAGCAGAGGCCGCAAGGAAACCCGAGCGUGAGCAAUUUAAAUGAAUUGCUGCCAGCAGUAAGCGGAGCAACGACACAGACAUUGAGUGAGAAUGUUCCCACCGGCAACCUGAAGUGACGCCAUCAUUAAAUGAACCAUUGCCCUCACAACUGAGUAGAAUUGUGCCGCCAGAAUUAAGUGCAAAUUUGGCGCCAGCGCAAGACAGCCAUUUUGUAUUUGUCACACGGAACAGCAACUAUGCAACGUAAACCUAACGCCGCCUUGUUACGUUACGGCCACAACGCAACCAGAACUAGGGUAUAUACAUAUAUCAACAAAGCAGCCUUAUGGUAACUGCGCCCGCAGCCGUGACUUACGGAACGGCACCGGCGAGUAUGGUAAAUUGAUGGACACCACGUAAACUGCCUGAUCCUCAGAGUUCGGAGGUCAGCUCGAGGAAUGGCCAAUAUUUCAGUGCGCGUUUGU